UUUCCGUAGGUGAACCUGCGGAAGGAUCAUUAUUGUAUAACCGAGGUGCGAGGGCUGUCGCUGACCCGAAAGGUCGUGCACGCCCGAGUGCCCUCACACACAUACAUCUCACCCCUAUGUGCACCACCGCGUGGGUCCCCCUUUGGCUUGUUCGGAGGGGGGCUUACGUUUUCACACAAACUUUGUAUGCAGUGUAGAAUGUAUUUUUUGUUUUUGCGAUCACGCAAUCAAUACAACUUUCAACAACGGAUCUCUUGGCUCUC
rnacentral:misc_RNA from 1 species